rnacentral:lncRNA from 1 species
UCGUCGUUAACAAGUUUGGCCUUUUGUUGGUAAGAUUUUGAUUCCAACACGUUGAGUUUGUUGUGGUUUUCAUUUCGGGUGAGAGGUUGUGGAUCAUUUAGACUUUCUUUGGUAGGAGUUCGAUCAUGCUUUCCAUGAACUCUGUUUUUCUUUGUUCUGAGAAUGUGUUUUUUCCUCUUUAGAAAGAAGAAGGGAGAACGGUUGAAUGCUUACUACUAGGGUUCAUUUUUGAACCAUGAUUUCCUGAUGUUGGAUUAUUGGGGCCGAG